rnacentral:tRNA from 1 species
ACUAUUUUGACAGAUUAAUGUGAUAAUUUUAGAAGUUAUUUAUGUAUAAUUUUUUUUUGUACAAAUAGUA